GCUAUUUCCAGUCCUCUUUUUUCCUUGGUCUAUGUUACAUUAGAGGCACAGUUACAGAAUACAGCGUGUCACAGACAAGUUUUACUAUAAUUCUUCUGUUCCAAUUUUCAAUCACAGAUUAUUUUUAUUACAAUAAUAAAAUUAAAGUUUUUAGAAUUUUUUCAUAAAUUACCGAUAUUCUAAUUUCUAAAUAAAACUUAAUCUGAUAAUGUUCCGUAAAUUAAGAGAAGUGUACCGUCUGGAUAAACGGACAUAUAAAAAUUUUGGUCAUAAAAGGGAACCUGAACCAUUGUUUACAGUAUUGUGGCAUGGAUUUCUUACAUUUUCCUUUAUUGGCAUGGGGAUUGAAUGGAAACGAAUGUAUCGAUUUUUCUUUGAUGAAGAACCUGAAAGGAGUUCACUCACAGAUUUAGAAUAGAUAUUUGUAAUUAGGUAGGUCAAUCAAUAUUUAGUUGUCUAAAUAAUAUUGUAAAUAUAUGAAUAAAUUAUUUA